rnacentral:sRNA from 1 species
UGGAGCAGCAGCGCUCCCGCCAAGUGCUUCGAGUACUACGAAAAGACACCUCUGACUCUGUCACAGCUCUGCAGGGUGAGCUUGAGGAAGGCCACUGGCGUCCGAGGGCUGGAGAAGAUUGCCAAGUUAAACAUCCCGCCCCGGCUCAUUGAUUACCUCUCCUACAACUGAAUUGCAGGUCACGCCUGUCCUGGAGACAGUGUGCCCGGAAAAGGGAACGUAGUACUCACUGGAUGCACCCAGGCCGGCCCGAGCCUCCCACCGCAGACAGUGUGGAACAGAGUGAGCCUGAGCUGCCCAAGGCGAUGCCCUUCGUGCUGUAUGACUGGAGGCCUCUCCGCGUGGGUACUUGGGGGUGGGGCCACAAAUCUGGCGAAAAACUUCAUGCUGGCCGCCGUGAGGUUUUUCUCCAGCGUUCCCGCCAUUGUCAUGGCGGGUCUUCAUCCUAAACUGAGAAGAAAAACAUUCCUGUUUGAUCACCGCCUUAGUUACCAGUUCUGGAUCAGUCAGUGUUUCUGCAUGGAAUAACAACCAUUAAAAAAAGCACUGGGUUCUGCCCUUUCAUCUUUGUAAGAGAUUCUUGCCUCUAGCAAUGACAUCCUGUGAUGUCUCACAGUAGAGCACUUAGCGCAGAAUCAGGUCCCCACGGCUGUUGCUCAAUAAAAGUGGCGGAAUAAAGUGCA